CUGUUUAUUGCUUGCUUGAUCCUUUGUUGCAUUUAGUGCGGGCAAUUCAGCUUGCUAUUCGCGAGCCAGCUCGUAUUCAGCUCGAAAUGAGCUUGAGAUUGAUUACUCAUUUAAUAAACGUGUCAAACAUGAGCUAAUAUUUUCAGCUCGAAAUCUUAACGAGCUGAGAUCAGCUCGCUCGUGUUCAGAUCGCUCUUAGGGACCGUUUGGUUGCAUGUAGUUGCAACUGUACGGCAGUUGUAACUGUAUGGAAAUACAAAUUCUAUAUUUGAUUUGAUGUAUUUAACUCCAAUUGCUGCAGUAGGAACUGUAAGAAGAGGUCCAACUGUAGCAGUUGAAGAGAAUAACUUUAAACAAAAAGUAAGCUUACCUCCUUACUUAUUUUUUAAACAAAAAAUAAAUUUUUUUACAGCGAAGAUAAUCUUACCAUCAUAUAUAUAAAAUGAUAAAAUUUUAAAAGUCAUUUCUCAACUGCAUGUAACAAAAUAAAUUAUUUCUAGUUGCAGAACUUUCUACUACAUCGAAUCAAACAAGAUACAUAAAGUUGCUACAGACUAUAUUUCUAAUUACAUGCGUUUUUACUGUAAUUAUAUCUAACCAAACGGCCCCUCAGUUGCCUUACAACUUGUAUAACUUGCAUGUA
rnacentral:lncRNA from 1 species